CCAUCCUUCCUGUCGUGAUGAUAAUGGACUAAACCUCAGAAACUGCCUGAAACAAGGACGGAAACCACGGAAGACCUGCAGCGCAGCAAACUGAAUCUUGCUUAAGGGCCCCUGUGCUUUCCUUUGUCAGAGUGCUGAACGGUCUGACAACACUCCCUGACACUCCUAUUUUGAGAACUACCACGUUUGAAUAGCAAAGGUCCCUCAAACUUCACCUGUCUUCCUGUGACUCACCAUGGCUGAAAUUCACCCGUGCCACGUACUCAGCAGAGAAAUUUUACCAUGUAGUCAAAUGAAAGGAAAAAUGUGUGCCCUUACAGGAUGUGCUCCCUAA